CUCUCUCUCUCUCUCUCUCUCUCUCUCUCUCUCUCUCUCUCUCUCUCUCUUUUCCUCGACGACGCCGACUCCUCUCUCUCGUGAUCUCUCCCGAUGGUCUCUCCUCGAAAUCAAUCCGACGCCGCUCACCUCUCAGUUCGAAUCCGCCGGCAAACAAGUCCCCAAUUUCGACUAUAUCGCCACCGUUUCUCAAGCCAAGCCACAGGCCGCACCAAUGGUCGCCAACGAUUUCCGCCACCGUUUCUUUCUGUUAUACUAUCUCUGCCACCAUGAACAGGUCAUCUUUUUUUCUUAUGUAUGUAUUAUACCAGCAAGUCUUUCACAAAUAUUUUUCGUCAGAUUUGUUUGCUAGUUCGGAUGGAAGAAUUUUUUUUUUUUGGUAACUGGCGGAUGGAAGAAUUAUGUAUUGAAUCAUUCUUUUAUUGUUUCCCUAUUACUAAUUCUCUAUUGUUUUGAUCAAUCUGUAAAUCAGAUCAGCUCAGUCUUAAUACAUUUUAGAUAAUAUAUGUAUUGUUGGAGCAAUGAAUGAAGCCAGAUGAAAGUUAAAUUGAUGUAUAUGUUUGGGGGAAUGAGGCGAGAGUGGCUCACUUUCAGAUAAGUGCAGAUAAGCUUACAAUAUAUGUAUUGUAUUGUAAGCUUUUGGCGUGUUCUCAAAUCAGAAGUGCAUAAUGUAUAUGCUUACGAUUCUCUCUCUCUCGGAGGCUCCUCGACAAAACGGAAACAGACCGUUUUGUUUGCUCUCUCUGUGAUUAUUGAAUUUGAGAAGGUGUUGCAGCUGUUGCACUUGCACGAAAGUGGAUGAAAAAGGUGUUGCACUUGCACGAAAGUGGAUGAAAAAGCAGAGAGUGUUUGCUUUGAUGUAUACACUUUAACCUGCUUGCUUUGUCUCUCUCUGUGGCAGUCUUCAGAGCUGUAAAGAUGAGCUUGCUUCAUGUCAAAGUGAGCUUGAAUCAGCAAAAGCAGAGAUUGAUAAGUGGAACUCAGCAUUUAAGAAAGAGUCCUUUGUACCUGCUAGAAAAUCUCCUGAACCUGAAUUUGUGAUUGACUACAUCCAAACUCUAAGAUCUUCCGAGAAGUCUUUGAAAGAGGAGGUUGUCAUUUGGCUAAUAAGUUUUGUGUUCUUUACUUCCUUUUUUCUUCAGUUGGAAAUUGCACAAAUGAAGGUAAAAGUCUUAAUAAGUUCAUUGUACAAUGUUCAUACAUAUUCAAUGAUGUUUGUAAUUUUUUUUACUAAGAGACCUCUAUAAGUCCUACCAAUAAUCAAAACUUUUGUGAUUGUC